GACGAACGCUGGCGGCGUGCUUAACACAUGUAAGUCGAACGGAAAGGCCCUGCUUUUGUGGGGUGCUCGAGUGGCGAACGGGUGAGUACACGUGAGUAACCUGCCCUUGACUUUGGGAUAACUUCAGGAAACUGGGGCUAAUACCGGAUAGGAGCUCCUGCUGCAUGGUGGGGGUUGGAAAGUUUCGGCGGUUGGGGAUGGACUCGCGGCUUAUCAGCUUGUUGGUGGGGUAGUGGCUUACCAAGGCUUUGACGGGUAGCCGGCCUGAGAGGGUGACCGGCCACAUUGGGACUGAGAUACGGCCCAGACUCCUACGGGAGGCAGCAGUGGGGAAUAUUGCACAAUGGGCGGAAGCCUGAUGCAGCAACGCCGCGUGCGGGAUGACGGCCUUCGGGUUGUAAACCGCUUUCGCCUGUGACGAAGCGUGAGUGACGGUAAUGGGUAAAGAAGCACCGGCUAACUACGUG
rnacentral:rRNA from 1 species